rnacentral:rRNA from 1 species
UGGGGAAUUUUGGACAAUGGGCGAAAGCCUGAUCCAGCAAUGCCGCGUGUGUGAAGAAGGCCUUCGGGUUGUAAAGCACUUUUGUCCGGAAAGAAAUCCUUGGCUCUAAUACAGUCGGGGGAUGACGGUACCGGAAGAAUAAGCACCGGCUAACUACGUGCCAACAGCCGCGGUAAUACGUAGGGUGCAAGCGUUAAUCGGAAUUACUGGGCGUAAAGCGUGCGCAGGCGGUUUGCUAAGACCGAUGUGAAAUCCCCGGGCUCAACCUGGGAACUGCAUUGGUGACUGGCAGGCUAGAGUAUGGCAGAGGGGGGUAGAAUUCCACGUGUAGCAGUGAAAUGCGUAGAGAUGUGGAGGAAUACCGAUGGCGAAGGCAGCCCCCUGGGCCAAUACUGACGCUCAUGCACGAAAGCGUGGGGGAGCAAAGCAGGAUUAGAUACCCUGGUAGUCCACGCCCUAAACGAUGUCAACUAGUUGUUGGGGAUUCAUUUCCUUAGUAACGUAGCUAACGCGUGAAGUUGACCGCCUGGGGAGUACGGUCGCAAGAUUAAAACUCAAAGGAAUUGACGGGGUCAUAGCUGUUUCC